AGAGUCAGCGAGGCGAUUACAGGUUGGCUAGUUCAGCUUGAGGAAAGUCCGGGCUCCCGAAAGAUCAGACUUGCUGGGUAACGCCCAGUGCGGGUGACCGUGAGGAUAGUGCCACAGAAACAUACCGCCGAUGGAAGGCAGAAGGCAAAAGGCAGAAGGCAGAAUUUAAAUUCAUCCUUCUGCUUCUCCUUCAUCCUUCACAGGUAAGGGUGCAAGGGUGCGGUAAGAGCGCACCAGCAGCAUCGAGAGGUGCUGGCUCGGUAAACCCCGGUUGGGAGCAAGGUCGCAGGGGUCAGGGUUGAUCUUUUUCCAACCCCGCUUUUGGUGUACCGCAAGAGGCGUCUGGUAACAGCCGUCCCAGAUAGAUAAUCGCCCUCCUAGACUUCUGGGAGAACAGAACCCGGCUUAUGUCUGGCUCUUUCC
rnacentral:RNase_P_RNA from 1 species